AUGUUCGUGUUAGCAAUAUAUAAUCAUUCAAAUGGGUUGUAUUAUGGAUCUGAAGGAGGCUGUUGUGGUUCAGAAGAAGGCUCCCACGGUUCAGAACCUCUUCAUCCAGAAGAACGGAUUCGUCACAAGGAACUGCACUUGACCAUGAGCAAUUUUCUGGAAUUGAAUCUGAAGCACUUUGUCCGCUCCGCCAUGUUUGAAAUUGACGGACAUAAAUGGUACCUUGGCAUCUAUCCUCGUGGUGACCCGUACAGCACGAGUUACCUCUCCUUGUACUUAUGCAUGGAUGCUUCGGACAAGCUCCCUCCUGAAUCUGGAAAGCUGGUUGAGUUGAGUUUAUCCAUCAUGGACCAAAAGCAUGGGCAACAUUACACCAGAAAAUCUCCAGCUCUUGUGGUGUUUGCGGGCGAAUGUCGCUGGGGAUGGUCCAACUUCAUUCCACUCAGCAUAUUCAGGGAUCCAUCCAGUGGCUACCUUGUACGGUCGUGCUGCAUUGUCAAGGCAGAGAUAACUAUCGUUGGUUCAUCCAGUGGUGGCGAGGUCUUAGCUGAUGGCCAGAUGAAUUGA
rnacentral:rRNA from 1 species